rnacentral:rRNA from 1 species
AUUGAACGCUGGCGGCAGGCCUAACACAUGCACGUCGGGCGGGCGGCGGACGGGUGAGUAAUGUAUGGGGAUCGGCCUGAGGGAGGGGGAUAACUAAUGGAAACGGUAGCUAAUACCGCAUACAAUCAGAUGACCCCAUAUGGGUUUAGCUUGUAGGUGAGGUAACGGCUCACCACGGCGACGAUCCCUAGCUGGUCUGAGAGGAUGAGCAGCCACACUGGGACUGAGACACGGCCCAGACUCAUACGGGAGGCAGCAGGGGGGAAUAUUGCACAAUGGGCGCAAGCCUGAUGCAGCCAUGCCGCGUGUAUGAAGAAGGCCUUCGGGUUGUAAAGUACUUUCAGUCGGGAGGCGUUACCGGCAGAAGAAGCACCGGCUAACUCCGUGCCAGCAGCCGCGGUAAUAC